AGAGUUUGAUCCUGGCUCAGGACGAACGCUGGCGGCGUGCCUAAUACAUGCAAGUCGAGCGGAGUUGAUGGAGUGCUUGCACUCCUGAGACUUAGCGGCGGACGGGUGAGUAACACGUAGGUAACCUGCCCAUAAGACUGGGAUAACCCACGGAAACGUGAGCUAAUACCAGAUAGGCAUUUCCCUCGCAUGGGGGAGAU
rnacentral:rRNA from 1 species